AUUGAACGCUGGCGGAAUGCUUUACACAUGCAAGUCGAACGGCAGCACGGGGGCGAACCCUCGGUGGCGAGUGGCGAACGGGUGAGUAAUACAUCGGAACGUGCCCAGUCGUGGGGGAGUAACGUAGCGAAAGCUACGCUAAUACCGCAUACGAACUCUGGUUGAAAGCGGGGGAUCGCAAGACCUCGCGCGAUUGGAGCGGCCGAUGGCAGAUUAGGUAGUUGGUGGGGUAAAGGCCACC
rnacentral:rRNA from 1 species